CAGUAGCCACGGUAAGACGGAGGGUGCUAGCGUUGUUCGGAAUCACUGGGCGUAAAGGGCGCGUAGGCGGCCUGUUAAGUCGGAUGUGAAAGCCCGGGGCUCAACCCCGGAACUGCAUCCGAGACUGGCAGGCUUGAGACCGGGAGAGGAGGGUGGAAUAUCCAGUGUAGAGGUGAAAUUCGUAGAUAUUGGAUGGAACACCGGUGGCGAAAGCGGCUCUCUGGCCCGGAUCUGACGCUGAGGCGCGAAAGCGUGGGGAGCAAACAGGAUUAGAUACCCGUGUAGUCCCUGUCUCUUAUAC
rnacentral:rRNA from 1 species